UACGUAGGUGACAAGCGUUGUCCGGAUUUACUGGGCGUAAAGAGCGCGCAGGCGGUCGUUCAAGUCGCGUGUGAAAGCCCCCGGCUCAACUGGGGAGGGUCACGCGAUACUGAUCGACUCGAAGGCAGGAGAGGGUAGUGGAAUUCCCGGUGUAGUGGUGAAAUGCGUAGAUAUCGGGAGGAACACCAGUGGCGAAGGCGACUACCUGGCCUGUUCUUGACGCUGAGGCGCGAAAGCUAGGGGAG
rnacentral:rRNA from 1 species